rnacentral:lncRNA from 1 species
AAUUUAAACGUGGCAAGAAGGCCAUAAUGUGUUACAGAGCCCAUUCUAGUACCCUUACACGAAUACAAACUAAACCCAAUUAAAGAAUUAGCCCAUUUAGGACAAAUAGAGAAGAGAAAAAUUUCCAGCCGACGAACUCGUUCUGUGUUGAUGCACGAAUCACGCAAGUACGAAAUAGGGUUUCUCUAGGGAAGUAAAAAGAAUCUCCCAAAAACAAUGCGAGCCGAGAGUACAAAUGGCGUUAAACGAGCCGAAAUGAAUGACUUCGGACUAGAGAUGUCGGGUCGUUUCUGAGGCCGAACUGUAGGUCGUAUUCCGAGCUGAAUGAAGCUUGAGGUCGCUUUCCUUUUCCAGACUGAGAUCGUUCUUCGUGUCCUAGCUGAGCUCUUCGUGUCCUUGCCGUGUCAGCGUGAUUUUCGAUGGAUGUGACAGGACUGGACGUCCUGCUUUUAUAGCCACGCAGAGUAGGGCAUACUCUGACAACUUUUACCGAUUUUACCCUUGGGCGUGAUGACGUUGCGGACCCGUAUGGCGGUGAGAUCGUCUGGGCUUUACUGCCUUUGGGUCGCGGCCCGCUUUAUCGAUGGGCUUCCUUCCUCAAAUUGGGCCGCCUAUCACGAAAGCCCAAUUUCUCCCUCAACAGUUGCCCCCCAAUCAUGACUCGUUGUUUUUACGAGGGUCAUGAUUGCUUUCCUCCUUCCCGAUGCACGCGAGAGGUCGCCCCUCUUUGCUUCGUUUCAGAUCUAUGAGUCUCGGCGACGCGCGCGUGGGGGAAACGCGAGAAUCAAUUCGUCCGAUGCUGCUCCCAAUGUUCGGAGAUCGAAGCGUCCCUCGCGUGUGAAGCCGCUUUGGCUCGUAAUUAUUGCUCGAUUUCGUAGGUAUAAUGACUAUUUUUCGACAUCCUUCGCUUCUAUAAAUACUUCCUCCCCUCUCGUUCACUUCUCACUCUUCUUCCUCUGCCAAAGGUAUAAUCCUCUCUUCUCUAUUUUGAUUUCUCUCAUCCCUUCUUUCUUUUUACGAUGUCGUCCGAUGCUAGUUCUCGCGGGUCGGUCUCUAACCAUCUCCGCUCUCGUACGUCGUCGGAUUCUUCGGAUCGUACACCAAAUGUUGAUCGAUUUCGAGCAAAUUCUUUCGAUGACGACCUGGAAUCUGACUCUUUCCCCCGUAGGAGGAAUUCACCUAGGUCGUCCGACGCCGGUUCAUGGGCAUCUGCAGCCGAACUGAAGCGUCGUGAAUCGUCUUCUCAGCGUGAUUUCGUUGGGGCGACCUCGAUUGUCCCCUUUGUUCCUCGUUUGAUCGACGAGGAUAUCGGUGACGUAAAAUUGACGAACCGGAAGCGGAGAUUGAGCAUGCCGACAUGCCCUUCGGCGUUCCGGGGCCGUCUCCCUACCAUGUCGAUUUUCUGGGCCCGAGCCAGACAAGUGUCGAGACCCUUGCGUAUACUCUUCACUACUGUGACGCUCCGUCUUCGAUUGAAUCUCGCGUCCCGACCCUAUCCGAGCGAACUUGGUCCGCUCCAGCCGGCUUCCUUUGUGUUUAUGAGAGUUUCUUUACGGAGUGCGAUCUUACCUUUCCGAUUCCGGGCUUCCUGCUUGAGUAUGUAGCGAGACGAGAGAUGGCUCUUUCUCAGCUUUCUGUUGCUGCCAUCCGGAACGCGAUAGGCCUUGUUCGGCUGGCGAAUAGGUGUGGCGUGGUGGUCUGUUCAUCUCACUAUGAGGAGGUGACCAAGAUUAAGAGCCUUAGCAAGAAAAAGCCGGGCUUACACUAUGUUCAGUCAUCUACGACUCCUAAGCUUGUCGACGAGGCCAAGAGUAAAACUAAUGACUGGUCGGCGGGAUACUUCUUUGUUAGGAUUUCUACAGAAUCUGUUGGGGACGUUAGGAUUCCGAUCUAUACAGGGUGGAAAAUUUCACCCGGUAGCUUGAGCUCGUCCUCCACCCUCACACUUUUUCCUUUGUUGCUUUCGAUUUUCUUAUGUGUCUUCUCUUUUUAUGCAGCUCAUUUCCCGACGAUAUUCGAUCCAUUUCCCGAGCAGCUCAAGAAGGAUCUCGAAAAGAUUCGCGCUGAGGGUACUUAUAUCUGGCCAUCUACUGUCAAAGUUGCUCGUCGCCCUUCUCGGAAUCCUUCACGCGGUCGUCAAGGUUCUUCUCGUCGAGGGUCCGUUCGUCAAAGUUCCAAAGUUUCUGCUCUUCAAAAGUCAGGUAACGCAUAACCUGUUCGCCUCUGCGGGUUUUCGUUUCCUUGGCUUACAUUAUUUCUGAUAUAGGUCGUAAGUUAAUGGGUAAAUUCGAUCUAAGUGUGGUCCCGGAUUACGCCAGUCGUUACAAAGAGAAGAGGCUGGCCAUGGAAACUCCCGUGGCGAAGCCAUCUCAUUCAGAGGAACGACAAAUGAGGGAGGCCCUGAAGAAGAGUCUCUUAGAUCAGGGAGGGCGUCAAGCCUUCCAGGCCGGCAGUUCUCGGCCGUUGAGCCCUAACUCCGAGAGGGUUAAGAAGAACGAGAUGCUCGCGGCUCGUUUAACUCAGCUGGCUGGUGGGGACGACCGGGUUGCGAUCCUUCCUCUAGGUGAUGAUUCCCGAGCCAUAGGAGCCCGGAGUGGCUCAGUCGAGCCCCUGACCAGGAAGAGGUCGGCUGAUACAGGAGCUCGUCCGAUUGCCCAGAAGAGGCCCGGGUCGCCGACCACCGGUGGUCGUAUCGCUAUGUUGAUAGGGAUGUUCCCUUUACGUCUAAUGCAGACGCCUGUGCGGCUAUAUUCUGCGAGAUGGGUCACGGUCUAGGCUCGUUCCCUCUCAUUAAAGAUCUUCGGGAGCGGGAUGCGUACACUGAGGCGGCCAGGAAAUCGUGCGAGGUUAUUAUUAUUAUUAUUAUUAUUAUUUUUAACUCGCUAUCCUUCCGCUGGCACUUAUAUAUGGUGUUUUUUAGGCGACCUUCGCUGUGAACCGCAUGGUUCAUCUCUAUGAGCGCCGAGUUCGUCGGCUUUCGACCGAGAACCCAAACUCGAAUGAUUAUCAGGCUGCCAUUGCUACGGAGAAGGAGCGGGUAGAUCAGGUCUCGCGAGAGUUGGGUGUUGUUAAGGACAAGGCGGUGAAGCUUAGGGAGAAGGUCAACCUUCUCGAUCAUCACCGGAAUGGGCUGAUUGCAGAGAGGGACCGUUUGAGCCCUGAAGUGGAGGCUGAGAAGGCUUGGUACGACGAGCUCGCUGUGAUCCUCCAUUCCGAAAAGGCCAGACUGCGAGAACGUCGUGCUGAGUACGGCGAAUACUGUCGAGGUAAAGCUCUUGCGAAGAUGGCCCGGCUAUUUCAGGCUCGUCUCACCCGUAUACAGGCUCAUGUUGAGGAUACCCGUGCCGCACAGCCCACACUUCUGCUUUACAACCAGGCAGUCGGCAAUCUCGGUUUUUUGAAAGCUCUAGUGGAAGAUGGCGAGGUCAUCGUCAAGUCAGAGGAGACGCUUUCCAAGAUUGAGGCCGACGUGGCACAGUACCGAGCUGAUCUCGCGGCCUUCGACGUGACUGAACUUGAGGAUGGUGACUUUGACGCCUAUACCCUCUUUGCGGACCGGGAUGAGGUUACUGAGAACCUUCAGUAUGCCGCCUCGGCCGCCAGUGGUAGGGAAGGCGUUGGAGAUGACGAGGUCGAAAAAGAUACUGUUGAUCAGGAUGCUCAGUAGGAGGUCGCUGUUGGAGCUCGUGAGGCCGGGGCCGAACUUCAGGAUGGGGGGUGGUCUUGAUACCGAGGCCACAGCUGCUGAGCGGGCUGGUGACGGCCAGGGGGCUCCACGGGUGGCUACUCCGUUAGCUCAGGUUGUCCAAGACGGGGAGGACGUAGAUAUCGAAGGCUGACCGCGAGGUCAUUUUAAAAGUUUUUUGUUUUGCCGCGUUUGACGGCUUUUUCUUAUCUAGUCCCCGCUUUGUUGGCUUUUGAACUCGUGCCGUUAAUUCGGCUUUUAACUUUGUAGCCGCAAGGUCGGUUUGUUUGAAUCUUGAUUGCCGCUAGGUCGGCUUAUUUUAUAUAUUUUCGCCAGUCUCCUCUUUUCAUUUUAGCUUGUGUUCUUCAGAGGUCGACUCCUAUGUAGGACGGGACGCGGCCGGUUUCUGUGUAAACCUGGUCGUGAUUGGCUUGGUGCGAGUUCACCAAGCCAAUGCGAGGCCUAGAUUACUUCGGUUGUUGGUAGGCUUGGCAGGUUGGGAACUUGUGAGUCCAACCUCGGCCUAUGUGUUUAUUCUGUCGAUAUAAUGCAAGUGCUGGACUUGGCUUGUGCGAAGUUUACCUACUUCGGCUUUUCCGAGUUUGCUCGGAGUGUUCGAGACGGGCUUGAGACAUCGUGAGGUGCGACGCGCGGUGAUCGGCUUACCCUGUAUUGGCCUGAAAAAUCUUUGGGAGUGCGGGUUCGUCCCAGGCUUACGUUUCCCAGUUCAUCGAGGCUUUGCGAGUACGGAGCUCGGCUUUCAGACCCUUAAGUGUAGGUUUUUUCCAAGACUUUUUUAUUUGUUUUGGCAGACUUAAGUAAGGGUGUGCGUUCUCGUUCGAACGUGUUCGAUCGAAUUGCCUGGCCAAGGUAUCGAUGUAUAUUUAGGUUCGGUUGUACUUUUGAAAUCAGAUGGAAAUACAAAAUUUUAUUAAUAUCACAGAUGCGCCCCGCAAGCAGGGCUGCCUACGUACCCCCUGAUCGGAGGGAUCAAGCCGUUUGUAGUUCACAUUACAUAGAGUUUUUUUUUUUUUUUUUUUUUUAGGGAGAUCGAGGUCGUCAGUAGUAGUACCGCUUGAGGUGCAUGGAGUUCCAAGUUCGUGGGACUUCGGUGCCGCUCAUGGUGAGGAGUUCGUAGUCGCCGGGACGAACUAUCUUCGAGACUUGGUACGGCCCCUCCCAGUUUGCUCCUAGUUUGCCGGCGUUGAGUUCAGUUGUAUUUUCGAAGACUUUCCUGAGUACAAGGUCGCCGACGUCGAAGUGGCGGUUGUGUACUUUCUUGUUGUAGUAUCGGGCGGCAGCAAGCUGGUAGUUUUGAACUCGGCAUAAUGCGGUGUUGCGCACUUCCUCAAGUUCGUCGAGUUUAUCAAGCAUCAUCUGGUCGUUGAGGUCGGGAUGGAUUGCCAUCAUAGAACGCCGAAGACUUGAGUAUCCGACUUCGGCUAGAGCCAUUUCUUCCAUGCCAUAAGCUAGCGCAAAUGGUGUUUGCUCGGUGGCGCUGCGGGGUGUAGUUCGGUACGCCCAAAGUACUCCGUCUAGUUCGUCUGCCCAUGCCCCUUUUUUGUCGUCGAGACGUUUUUUGAGACCAGCGAGAAUAGUUUUAUUGGUCGCUUCGGCUUGUCCGUUGCCUUGCGGGUAUCUCGGUGUGGACUUGUUUAGACGAAUUUUCCAGCUCGCACAGAAAUUUUCGAAUGUCAGCGAGAUGAAUUGCGAGCCGUUGUCGGUGAUGAUUUCGUAUGGAAGGCCGUGUUAGCAUAUUAUAUAUUUCCAAACGAAGUUCUAGACAUCCUUGGCUCGUAUCGUCGCGUACGAUUCGGCUUCCACCCAUUUAGUAAAGUAAUCCGUCAUGAUUAGAAUGAACCGUUUUUGUCUCGAGGCCGGUAGUGGGCCGACGAUAUCCAUGGCCCACCUCAUGAACGGGUAUGGUGCCGCACCGACCUUGAGUAGUUUGGUUGGUUGAUGUAUCGAGGGCGCAUGCCUUUGACAUUGGUCGCACUUAGUCGCGAAGUCCUUACAAUCCAAUAUCAUGGUCGGCCAAUAGAAACCCAGCUUUUUGAUUUGCAAAGCGAGAGCUCGUCCGCCGGAGUGGUUGCCGCCGGCCCCCAUGUGUGUUUCCUUCAUUAUCUCUGCGAUAUCAUUGCCGUGUAGGCAGCUCAACCAUGCUCCGGUCGCGCUAAGCUUUAGGAGGCAAUUUUCCAGGGUCGUGUACUUCGCGGCUUUGAUGCGUAAUCGACGUGCUGCCCAUUUAUCUGUUGGGACCGUUCCGUCAGUGAGGAAAUCGCGUAUCUCGACCCGCCAGUUGGUUGGAUCGGCUGCGUCUGGAUUGUGAUUCGUUCCGACGAAAUUGAUAGUAUCGAUUGCUUCGAUGCUUGGUCGGUCUACGCUUUCCACCGGGAUAAUACGUCGAAGGUCAGUGUCCGAUGUGGAUCCUAAUGCGGCGAGAGCGUCGGCCGGUGCGUUAUCUCCUCGCGGGAUUUUGGUUAGUUCAAAAUGUGUAAACUGUGAGGAUAACUUCUUGACGACCUUGAGGUACGCCUCCAUAGUGUCGUUUUUGUCUUCGUAUUCGCCGCUAAAUUGAUUUGCGACGAGCUGUGAGUCUACGUAUGCUUGGACUCGUUUGAUCUUCAUUCCUAGAGCGAGACGUAGUCCGGCAAUGAGUGCUUCGUAUUCGGAGACGUUAUUUGUUGCCGCAAAGCCAGACGGAACGAUUGCUCGAUCAUUUCCCCGGUUGGCGAGACCAAUCGUAUACCGACGCCAGAGCCGUGUGACGAUGAAGACCCGUCGGCGUACAACGUCCAGACGCCGUUCUGAGGGUCACCUGGCUCGGGGUCGCUGCUUAGGUCUUUCGGAACGAGCGGUAGUUCGAUGAGGAAGUCGGCUAGGACUUGCGACUUCAUGGCUGGUCUGGUCCUGAAGUCCAUAUCGUAUUCGCUGAGCUCAAUUGCCCAUUUAGCCAUUCUCCCGGACUGGCUCGGACUGUGUAGCGCGGUUCGUAGUGGUUGGUCUGUGAGAACGGCGAUUGUGUGGGAUUGAAAGUAGGGGCGUAAUUUCCUGGCCGACGUUACGACCGCUAGUGCGGCUUUUUCCAUUGUGGGGUAGCGUGUUUCGGCCUCGAUGAGGGACUUACUGACGUAAAAGAUCGGUUUUUGAUCGCCUCGGUCAUCUUUAACAAGUACGCCGCUCACGGCCGAACUUGAUACCGCGAUGUACAGGAAUAGUGUUUCGCCGAUUUCUGGUUUAGCAAGAACCGGGGGCGUCGUGAGGUAUUGUUUGAGUUUGUUGAAAGCAUUUUCACUCGCCUCGUCCCAUGCAAACUUGUCCUUCCUUUUUAAGAGGUUAUAGAAGGGUAAGCACUUGUCUGUCGAUCUGGCGAUGAAGCGGUUGAGAGCGGCGAUCCGUCCUGUUAGUUGCUGCACCUCGCGUGCGUUCUUUGGAGAAGGCAGAUCGAGGAUUGCACGAAUUUGCUUUGGAUUAGCCUCGAUCCCCCUUUGCGUGACCAUGUACCCUAGGAACUCGCCGGAUGUUACGCCGAAUGUGCAUUUCGCGGGGUUUAAUUUCAUAUUGUAUUCGUUCAGCACGUCGAAGCAUUGGCUUAGGUGUCGGACAUGGUCGGCCGCUACUAGAGAUUUUACCAGCAUGUCGUCUAUGUAAACUUCGACGGUUCGUCCGAGCUGAUCAGCGAACAUCUUAUUUACCAAAUGUUGGUACGUCGCACUGGUGUUUUUGAGGCCGAAUGGCAUCACCUUGUAACAAUAGGUUCCUCGGUCUGUGAUGAACGAGGUCUUUUCCCUAUCAUCUCUGUGCAUGAGGAUUUGAUUGUAUCCCGAGAAUGCAUCCAUGAAGGACAGGAGUUCGUUCCCGGCGGUCGCUUCGACUAUCCUGUCGAUGUGAGGGAGCGGGUAGCUAUCUUUUGGGCACGCCUUAUUGAGGUCGGUAAAGUCUACGCAAACACGCCAUUUGUCGUUCUUCUUCUUUACAACGACCGGGUUCGCUAGCCAUUCUGGAUAUUUUACCUCAGUUAUCGAGCCAGCCUUCAACAGCUUGUCGACUUCGUCAUUUACGGCCUUGGCUCGCUCCGGUCCCAAUUUUCACCUUUUCUACUUUACCGGUUUAUAGGUCGAGUCGACGUUGAGAUCGUGCGUAACGAUCAUAGGGUCGAUGCCUAUCAUGUUGUCUAUGCUCCAGGCGAACGUCUUAGAAUUCUGUUUUAGGAAUGUGAUGAGUGGCUCUUUAACCGAUGGUACUAUCUCGGCACCGAUUGCGACGCAUCUUGUCUUAUCCGUCUCGUCAAUAUUCACUUGUUCCGUCCUGCUCAGUUGAGGUUCUUCAAGGGACUUUUCUCGGGUCGGGGCAGUCGACGAUGCUGGCGUCGUUAAUUGCUAUAACUUCUUAGAGAUGCGGUUCUUGUGUUCGAUGAGAAAACAUGUUCUUGCGACCUGUUGAUUCCCUCUCAAGGUGAACACUCCGUUGUGUGUUGGGAACUUGAUGCACUGGUGGUAUGUGGACGGGAUCGCCUGCAUUUGAUGCAUCCAGGGUGUCCCCAAAAUAACGUUGUAAACUGCGGGCUUGUCAAUUACGACGAACUUGACCCACGAGAUCGUUCCUCCGACGAAUACGGGCAACUUGAUCGUUCCGAUUGUCAUUACGAAGUCACCAUCGAAUCCGGCCAACGGGCACGACACGGGUUUUAUUUGCCGAUCGCUGACGUUCAUUAUAGCCAAAACGUCCUUGAAGAUGAGGUCGACUGAGCUUCCAGUAUCGAUGAGCACCUUAGUUACUCGGGUAUCGCCGAUAAUGAGUUCGACGACGAGAGGAUCGUUAUGCGGUGUAUCGAUGCCCUCCAGGUCGGAUUGGGUAAACGAUAUGGGUUCGUCGACGGGCGUAGUUGGUGGUGCGCUCGUCGACGGCCAUACUUCCUUCAUCUCAGCUUUUUUGCGAUAUUGUUUAAUUGACCGAACAGAAUCGUUGCAGUUUUACAGUCCGCCCAUUAUCAUUCGGACCUGUCUGACGACCACCGGAGCUUCGGCUAGUGCCUUUCCAUUCCGAGGUCUUUUGACGGGAUCAUUCGCAUCCUCGAUUUCCUCGGUUUUCGCAUCGUCUUGUAGGUAUUGACGAGCCAUACUCUCGUUACGUUUUUGAUCCUUACCUCCUUGGACGCGAUCGCACUCGAUCGCGAUGCUUCCGCUCUUAUAUCUUGCCAUCAGUAAGCUUUGCAGAUACCGGCAAUCUUCAGUGGCGUGUGCUUUACUUUUAUGGUAUUCACAGAAUAUUGACGUCGGUGCCGAGGAAUCGGUGUCCCUUACGUAUUUGUUCCACGGCCUUGGUGAUGGUGCCUCGCUAUUAACGACGAAGGUCGUGGGUCGUCGUGCCUGGCCGAUGUUACCUUUGGAAUGUUGUUUUGGCUCAGCGUUGUUUGCUGCGUUAGGUAUGGCCGAAGCAGUCUCCUUGGUUACAGAUGUUUUGGGCGGAUUAUGCUUUUGGGCUAGAACGAGCCGCUUCUCUUCGAGCUCGAUAUACCGCGAACCUCUAUGCAGUGUGUCCUCGAGAGUGUUCGGAGCAUGAAGAGUGAUAUCAUCCCUGUAUUUUGAAUCGUACCAGACGGCGUUGCGGAGGGCUACUAUCGCGGCCUCGUCAGGGAUGGUGAUUCUGGUUACCACUACCUUGAAACGAUCGAUAAACGAUCGGAGUGACUCCUUGGGGCCUUGCGAUAGGGACCAUAGGUCGGCGUUGGACGUCUGAUUCUCGAUAAGAGGUGAAUAGUGCUUUAGGAAAGACGAUGACAAUUGGUUGAAGCUGCUGCUGAUUUCUGGCACCGCCCUGCCUCGAAGUUUUCUGGAGUAAGCUCGGCGCGGUUAAUCGCCACGCUGAAAGAUUGUAGGAAUUCCUUAGGGUCGCCUUUUCCGUUGUACCUUUCCAAUUUGAUUUUCUUGGAUCCGCGGACGGAAACGCUUGUGAUUCUUCGGGUGAAAGCGGUUUGCUGAGUUUCCUCGAGUACGCGGUCGAGUUCCGGAGCCGAGCUAGUGGCACGGUGAAUUUUCGAGCUCAUUUCCAGGAUAGCGCGUCUUAGUUCGGCGAUCUCCGUAUCUCGCGGAUUGGUGCUGCCCAUGGUUUGGACGGGCUGAGCUGCCUGGGGACGUCCGGGGAGCUCUGGGGUGUAGACAGCGUUUGCACUUCGACUUGUUUGCAGACGGUUGAUCUCGUCCAUGGAGAAUGCUUGAGCCGUGGCCAGAGAUGCGAACCAAGCAUUUGUUCGUGUGUCCUGUCGACCUAGAUGGUCGAGGAUGUUCUGGAGCAGCCGGUUUGGCUUAGCGGGAGUUGGUGCCGCAGCGUGCUAUUCUGCACGGGUUUCCUCGAGGUUCGUUGGACGUCGUCUGCUGGGAGAGGUUGGUUCGCCUUCCUCCUGGUGUGCCGGGGGCGUUUCGUUUCUUACUGCUUCUGCUGGCCCCCCGGGCGUCUGAGGUAACGAUGCGGGAAUAGCUACCGAGGUAUGGGUAGCCUUCCUUGUCGGAAGUACUCCUGGUGGGAUCGGCGUCACUGUCUCUCCUCCUGUGGAGGAUGCGUUGUCGUCUCGGACGCCCGUGCUGGUUCCCUGGUUUCCAUCGGUUGCCAUUGUGUUGUCGCGGGCUCGUUUUGUUGACUGGAGAAAUCUCUGAGCUAUCCCCCUACCUGGCGCGCCAACUGUUGAUGCACGAAUCACACAAGUACAAAAUAGGGUUUCUUUAGGAAAGUAAAAAGAAUCUCCCAAAAACAAUGCGAGCCGAGAGUACAAAUGGCGUUAAACAAGCCGAAAUGAAUGACUUCGGACUAGAGAUGUCGGGUCGUUUCUGAGGCCGAACUGUAGAUCGUAUUCCGAGCUGAAUGAAGCUUGAGGUCGCUUUCCUUUUCCAGACUGAGAUCGUUCUUCGUGUCCUAGCCGAGCUCUUCGUGUCCUUGCCGUGUCAGCGUGAUUUUCGAUGGAUGUGAUAGGACUGGACGUCCUGCUUUUAUAGCCACGCAGAGUAGGGCAUACUCUGACAACUUUUACCGAUUUUACCCUUGGGCGUGAUGACGUUGCGGACCCGUAUGGCGGUGAGAUCGUCUAGGCUUUACUGCCUUUGGGCCGCGGCCCGCUUUAUCGAUGGGCUUCCUUCCUCAAAUUGGGCCGCCUAUCACGAAAGCCCAAUUUCUCCCUCAACAUUCUAGAAUUGAUCAGAUCAAACGAGAGACAACCACAGUUGCAUGUAUUCACUGGCGACUUGAGGAUUCUGGCUGCGAAAAGAUGAAAUUCGAUUCUUGAUGAUGCUUUCAAUGAGGCGAAUAAUUGAGUCAGUUGACCGGUGAGUUUGCCGAUGAAGUCUAUUGUUCCGCUCCUUCUAAAUUUCAUAGAACAUGAUUUGCCAAGCCAGCAGAAGGAUGUAUCUGGUCUUCAUAUCACCGGAGUAUGAAAUUAGGUAUUCUAGUAAAUUAUUCCAGUCCAUGGAAGAGGAGAAUCUAGAAAUUCUGAGUGCCAAAUUGCUCCAAACAGAGUAAGAGUAGUGACAUGCAAAGAAGAGAUGAUCUCUGCUUUCCAGAGCCUGAUUGCAAAGUAAACACAUCGGAUCCACAGAUAGUCCAAAGGAGAGAAGCCGAUCUCGAGUAGGGCAUCGAUUAAGAAUAAACAUCCAAGUAAGCGUCCUAUGCUUUGGUAUCCCUCUCUUUAUCCAGACAAUCUUCCACCAAUUUACUACCGGUUUCACAUCUACUAAUUCCUGGUAAAUUAGAUUGGAGCAGAAGUCUUUGCGAUUGAUGUCGUUUAUCCUUCAGUGAGGCUUGUCUUCAGAGAGUAGCACCCUAACUUCACGUCCACAAGAUCAACAAUUUCAACCUUGUUUACUUCAUCAACAAGUAAGAACUCAAAGUAUGCCAUGUUGGGCAUAAAUGUGUAAGACACAUCUUGUUGUUUGCAUAGAGGAUUCAAAUUUAUCCCGAGUGCGGUUUCGGAAGAAAGAUAAUUCAUGCAAAUGAUAGGCAACUUGUUGGAGACUUGGAGUAGAACUCCAAUGUUGAAAUGUAUUGAGUCAUCUGACCUAUAACAAUACAUUCAAUAAAUUUGGUUUUUGGCUAAAGUCUUGUAAUUAUACCUUCCCAUGAAAUUUGGUUGCAUUCUUUUUCUAUCAAGUUUGCUAAUUCAGGAUUAGGUCCUCCAAGGAUCUCAGACACGCAGUCCCUACAACUAAUGUCUUCAAUCCACUCGCUCACAUGACCCAUUCUAAUGUUACUACACAAUCCCUUCCAAUACUCUUUAAGAAAAUUGAUAGCUCGAACCAAGGCAGAAGCAAAAGCAGCACUCACACUCACAACAUCUUCUCUCUGGACAAGUCCACUGAGAAGAUGACAAUACAUGCUCUGCUUACUGUCUCCACAAAAAGUGAUUUCGUUGGGACUUGUGUGAACUUUUGAUGCCAGGUUCCUAAAGUAAUCUCUCUUUAAGACGUUUGUACUCACAGGAACAGCUGGCAGACCCGAAGGAGUUGUAGAUUCCGGUUUAAUGAAAUCAAACCUCAACACCUUUCCUUUCUCGGCACCAUUGAUAUGCCUAUAAACCG